UUGGUCCUCCCGCAAUGCUAACUUGUGAACUCGGUCAGGUCCGGAAGGAAGCAGCCGCAGCAGGCGACGCGUGUGCCGGGAUGUGGCUGGC
rnacentral:SRP_RNA from 2 species